rnacentral:lncRNA from 1 species
UAAAGGGGGUAUUUGGUAAAGUUUUUAGCUCAGUGCUGAGAAUAAUUUUUUCACGAAUGUUAGCUGUGUGUUAGCUAGCUAGUCUCACAGAAUUGAUGUAUAAAAAACCUCCAUCAAAUUCACUGUCACUGCAUUUCAUAGUAAACUUUUAAUUUUCUCACUCGUGAAUGGCUUGGUUUAGGCUAUUAUGGUUCACUUUUGAGCUUUGAGGCAAAUUCAGAUUUAUUUCUCAUGCCUCAACAUGAGGUCUAAUAUAAAGAAGUACUGGGUACCUGGGUUGUACUUGUACAAUAAUCAUCUGAGAUAAAGAGCAGGCUGAACCAUGCAUGCACAUUUAAAUCUCAGCAAACAUCCUGCAUGUUCAUAUUCCAUUGGCCAAAGCAAGUCAGAAAGCUAAAUAUAAAACAAGGGGAAUGGGAGGCAUAAUCUGAGGAGGGGAAAUAAUUGAAUAUUUGACAAAUAAAAUCUCAGUUUAUCAUAGCUUUAUUAGACUUGGCAUUACAAGUGUGUGUGUGUGUGUGUGUGUGUGUGUGUGAGAGAGAGAGAGAGAGAGAGAGAGAGAGAGUGUGUGUGUCUAUCUGUCCUUUCUCCCUAUAAAAUAAUGCCCUUCUUAAAAGGUAGUUGUUUUUAGGUUUAAUUUUCACAAUUCAGCUUAAGAGACAUGUUGACUUUAUAACUGGAUUAAAAUGCUUGACAAAAAACCAUUUUCAGUUGAUAUCUAACAUACUUUCACAAUCUCUGAUAUCCAGUAUGUUAGCUUAUAUAUAAGACUGAGUUACUCUCUGAUCUUUAUUAUGAACCUAUUUAAUAUUUUUCUUUUAUUGCUCUUUACAAAAUAUUUACUGAGGUAUAAUUUACAUGCAAUAAAAUUUACUGAAUUUAUGGACACAUGUAAAUGAGUUUGACAAAUGUAUGGCAAUGUAAUUAAGACCACAAGAAAGAUAAAGAAUAUUACUAUCAUUCUCCAAAAGAUUCUUCAUGCCCCUUUGCAGUCAGUUCCUGUCCAACAGUUCCCCUGCUAGAUGGCCACAGACUUGUUUCCUAUUAUUAAAAUUUUGUCUUUUCUAGAAUUUUAUCUAAAUAGAAUUGUAUAGUCUUUUGUGCCUGUUUUUUUCACUGA